GACGAACGCUGGCGGCGUGCCUAAUACAUGCAAGUCGAACGCAUUUUCUUUCAACGUAGCUUGCUACACCGUAAGAAAGUGAGUGGCAAACGGGUGAUUAACACGUCGGUACCCUGCCCAUCAUUCGGGGAUAUCACUCGGAAACAGGAUCUAAUAUCGCAUAACUUCGUUUACGGUAUGGUAGAUGGGUGAAAGGCGCUUUUCCGUCAGCGUUGGAUGGUCUUGCGGUGCUUUAGCUAGUCGGUGGGGUAACGGACUACCCAGGCUGCGAUGCAUAGCGGACAUGCGAGGAUGAUCAGCCGGACUGGGACUGAGACACGGCCCAGACUCAUUCAGGAGGCAGCAGUAGGGAAUCGUCGGCAAUCGACGGAAGUCUGACCGAGCAACGCCGCAUGAGUGAAGAAGGUUGUCGGGUUGUAAAACUCUGUUGUUAGGGAAGAACAAGGAUGAGAGUGGAAAGUUCAGCCCUUGACGGUAUCUAACCAAAAAGCAACGGCUAACUACGUG
rnacentral:rRNA from 1 species